AUUCAUUUAGUAUAAAAAGUAUAUAAAGCUUCCAACUUUAAGGUUUUUAAUAAAAAUGGGUA
rnacentral:tRNA from 1 species